rnacentral:rRNA from 1 species
AACGUAGGAGACAAACGUUAUCCGGAGUUACUGGGCGUAAAGGGCGUGUAGGCGGUUAGUUAAGUCUGGCGUGAAAGCUCUCGGCUAAACCGGGAGAGGUCGUUGGAUACUGGCUGACUAGAGGACGGUAGAGGCGUGUGGAAUUCCGGGUGUAGUGGUGAAAUGCGUAGAGAUCCGGAGGAACACCAGUGGCGAAUGCGACACGCUGGGCCGUACCUGACGCUAAAGCGCGACAGCAUGGGGAGCAAACGGG